GCAGUUAGAAGCAGAUCAGACAUUGAGUUCCACGUUUGCCUUUGCGAUUCGAGAAUCCUCUCUCGGGGGCGGCGUUGGGUAGUCGCCCUCAGCCAGGAGCCUCGGUGCCUGGGGCGGAGACGGGAUGCCGGGUGUUCUCCGGGCGCCGCGCGCUGCCCCCGCGGGCUCUGUCCGAGGUACUGAACGCCGCGGGCUCGGGGCGUGCAGGCAGUGAGCGCGGGUGUCCAUUGUUGCCAGUACAUGUGAGCAUCUUCGUGGAGAUGACCGAGUGUGGGGGUCAGGUGAAGCCAGGGCGGGGCCAGCUGGAGCAGCAGACAGAUUUGACUAAAGACUGUGGAAGGAAGGGCAUUUGGGGUCAGACUUGUCCUGGAACACACUUCCCACCUGGCUUUUGGGAUUCACCUGGUAAUACAUUGAUUUUUUUUCCUUCAGAUAGCUAACCUGUUUUCCCAGCAGUUUAUUGAAUGCCUCAUCCUUGCUGAUAAAUUCAAUGAUGCCAUUAAAUUUUUUUUAAUUUCCA